UACGGGGGGGGCAAGCGUUGUUCGGAAUUACUGGGCGUAAAGGGCGCGUAGGCGGCCUGCUAAGUCAUACGUGAAAUCCCUCGGCUCAACCGGGGAACUGCGUGUGAUACUGGCGGGCUUGAAUUCGGGAGAGGGAUGCGGAAUUCCAGGUGUAGCGGUGAAAUGCGUAGAUAUCUGGAGGAACACCGGUGGCGAAGGCGGCAUCCUGGACCGAGAUUGACGCUGAUGCGCGAAAGCCAGGGGAGCAAACGGG
rnacentral:rRNA from 1 species